CCGCGGAGCCAUUCGCGGGGCCGGCGGAGCCUCGGGGCGGGGCCAGCGCUCAGGAAAGCCCAAGUUACCAGCCCCAGAGCAGAGAGAGAAGGAGAGAGAGAAUCCCAAGCAGGCUCUGCGCUGUCAACACAAAGUCCGAUGCGGGGCUCGAACCCACGAACCGUGAAAUCGUGACCUGAGCUGACGUCAGACGCUCAACCGACUGAGCCACCCAGGUGCUCUGAUUCAUCCAUUUUAGACACUGUCUGUGGACUUCCUAGCAACACAGGCAAGGAGUUAGGUCUUUAACACCCCCCACCCAUUCCAUUCUUGGGGUUCAGUUUUGUCACUCUUGCCCCAUGAUUGAUAGUGGUUGCAGAAUUGUGACUAGGUAAGCAUUGUUCACCGCAGAGCUUACUCAUGUAGUCCGAUGGCACUCGUUUCUGUCCCCUGACCCCCCGGGGUUUAAUUUCUUCUCCUUCUCUUUCUGUGCUGCCCGCCACGAUCACUCCUCCACUCCGCUCCAGUGCUCCGGCAUGACAGUUAGUGCCGUUUCCCUUGGCUACCUCCUUGACCUGUCGUACGCUGCUGUCCUGGAACCUUCCUUCGCUGCUUCCUGGGCUGGGCUUUUCCUGGCUCCCUUCUCUUCUUGCUUUCUUUACUGUCUCUCUUAAUCUGCAGUUAAGAAUCCCUUUCUAAUAUUAAAAAAUAGAAUGGUCUUCGGACCUGCCCGUGAUCGUAGGUAUCCUUUCGAUAUCUAUUAAUUGGGACCAAAAAUACAGAAAGACCAAAAGUUACUAUGAAGGCACUCCUGCUCUUAAGUGAAUUUGUGUUUUACUCACAAUAGCAUCUAUGAACGUGUGAAAGCCUGUUCAAAGUUUAGGCUUAGGGUUAGUUCAAUCUAGCCUCAAUGUCUGGUCUUCCAUUUGUCACCUCGCCCCCUCAACUUGCCGUGAGACAACCCCCUCUCUUGACUUUCUAUUCAGUUCCUGUGCCCUAGCAGAGACUUAAGUACUGGUUUAAGGCCCACCUUGCAGGUGCACGUGACCAUGGCUGGCCAAUCAGGGUCUCCUCCUGCCAGAUACAGGGUCCAAGCAGACCAAUCAGAGGCUUUUUGAAGACUGGCUUUCCUUUAUGAGGCUUGCUCAACCUCAGUGGAGAGUUGGAGUUACUAACGACUAUCUUUGCAGUCUUGGGGCAUCCAUCCUGAAGGCUGAAGCCAUCAUGGAGGAAAGCACAACUGAGGGAUAGUUGGGGAGAGAAUGACGUUUGAGCGCUAGAUGCGGCCAGCUUGAAGAUCUUAGGCUUCCCGGUUAUGUGAGCCGAUACACCGUAUGACAUUUUUGGCUUAAGCAUAUUUUAGUUGGAUUUCUUUCACUUGGAGCAUAAAGAGCGGCGACUGAUAUCCUGUCUUUGUGAACUUGGGCAGGUUAUACAAGCGGUGCGUACAGACUUGGACCGUGACAACGCAGCUCCCGCUAGGUCCCCUAUGGCUGCCCUGUUAUCAGCCUGAGCCUGAGACAGCUUGACAUUGAAUAGUCCGUUUUAGGGACUGGAGGAAACGACUUACCAUGAGUCACUGCCCUAAAAUAUGCUUUCUACCCACAUGCCCGGUGCCUGGAAUUCUGUGGUGAUGGUGGCAUUCCUCAGGGUUAACCAUGGCUCUCUUCAAACGGUUCUCCUUUGGAGUGUGAAGUCUGCGAUACUUAACUUGUAGAAGUCCUUUCUUCUGGAGGUCCCUCUGGCAGGCAGUGGAUCCAGGAUGCGGUGUAGACAGACCUAGGUACACAUCUCAGUUCCCAGUGGCACAGUCCCUUUGCAGCUUUGCGGGCAAACCCCUAGCACUGUGUGCUGACCUUUAGGAGGUCAGUCUGUAUCACAUAAGGAAUCCUACGCAGAGAGUGAAGAGAUGGUCUCAGAUUCACCCAGUAAUCUCCCUGAGUCAGCCCUGAGGGCAGGGCCUGGCCCUAGGCGUUGGGAAGAGGAAGGAGAUGUGAUUCUUGUCUUGUCAGGGCUCCUGACCUAAUAGAGAACUGCGGUUGAGUCUUCACAUGGACGGACGCUGUCUUUCACUCUGCGCCAUUCUGUGGCGCCAGGCCGCUCUCUGCCGCUGCCCUGCCCUGGAAACACACGCAGCCUAAGCACCAUUCCUGCCUCUGCUCUGGGCCUCGGGACUUUUCUUCUUCUUGAAUGAGUGUGCUCCCGCCCCCCAGCUGGUGCUCCACGCCAUCCCCCAGGUCUCAACAACAUACCCCCACCAGGACCACAGGAGCCAGAGCUGGUCGUGCCUGGUGGUCCUCAGGACUGAGAGGCCCUGACCUCCGUGGGGGCAGGAGCCGGCCAGCAUGACCAGUCGGGACUCCCAGGUUAAGAAUCCAGUUGAGCCUCCUGGUCCUCCUCAAUCUGCUCUGCCCUUCGUCUCCCACCCCCAAAUCCCUGCCGACCUCCAGCCCUGAAGAAGCCGGAGAACCUCUGCUUCCCCCACCUCCCCGUCCGCCUUGUCCUACUUCAGUAGUUUGGCUCCUCCGAGCCCUCUUCUUGAUUCAACCUUGCUUGGCCUGUGAAGACUUGAACAAACACGGACGUGGUUGCUGGCAGCUCGUGGCCGCAUCCCUAGUAGGACCCUAGCCUCCCUUAAAGUGCCUGCCUGCAAAACUCCCGGCUGUCUAAAGGAUUGGCUGCUGAGUCCAGCCAACGCCUGAAGAUCGGGCCCCUAUACUGCAUUGCCAAUAGUCCAUCCAGCUUUAAUUCCAGUGAGAACGUUCCGGAGAUGAAACUAAGAAUCAACUCCAGGCGCUUCUCCAGUCACCUCUGGGGAUGAGUGUAUGUCGUCAGCAUCCAGCGCCUCACCUGCUGCCCAGCUAGAAUGACACCUUUCAGGGUUUCUGACUUAGAAACACGACCACCAGGUUACUCCACGUGGACACCACCCCCCUUUUACAAAGCCUUUGAACACCCACCCAUCAGGAGGGGUUUGCUGGAUAAUGUUGGUUGGCUCUUGACACCCAUUUCUAGCCCCUUCUUUGCAGGUCCUGGAAACCCACGAACCAUCGUUCACAGAUUCCCUCGACAGCAGAAUUCUGCCGAUAAAGCGUACCUGUG